rnacentral:misc_RNA from 1 species
CGAUAUGUGUACUCUUUUAGAUAAUCAGAUGGCAACUCAUACAUUUCGAGAUUGUUAUUGUUUUGUUAAGUUUUUUUACAAAUUAUGUGAAAUAUAGUUAGCUAAUAUGAAAAGAGUUUGACUUGUAAAAAGGGUUUUCCGGAACAUAGAUUUGAAAGUUAAAAAUGGCUGAAUCGAAAGGAAAUGAUUCUUCCUCUAAAAAUCAGAAGAUGAAAUCUUUUAAUAUAUAUCCUGUAGGAGUUAAAGGUCCUAAACCACCAGAAGUAGACAAAUCUAAAGUUCCCAAACUUAAAUGCUCUGAAGAAGAAAAAGCUGCAGCUGAAGUCUAUGAAGAAUUUUUGGCAUCAUUUGAUGAACCAGUAAAACAUGGCAAACUUUUUGUUAGAGGAACUGUCAUUAAUGCAGGUUCUGGAGAAGAGAAGCCUACUGUUCAAACUGGAAAAUUAUAUAAGCCCCCAAAAAUAGCAGAAAAUAUUAAAAAACCUGAAGAAAAACCAGAAACUGCAAAAGAAAAAGCAGAAAGAAUAGAACGUCAGAAUAAGAAAAAGGAGAAAGAGAAAAAGAAAAGCAAUCUUGAAUUAUUUAAAGAAGAACUGCGGAUGAUUCAAGAGGAAAGAGAAGAAAGACAUCGGCUGAAAAACAUUGUUAAGGAGCAAGUUAAAGUUGGCCGACCUGUUGAGCCUGUUGAAACACAAAUUAGACUGGCUGAUGAUUACCGGUAUCCUUCAUAUGGAUCAUAUGAUACUGGAGAUCCUAGUACAACUAAUCUUUAUUUAGGAAACUUAAAUCCAAAGAUGACAGAACAGCAAUUAUGUGAAGUAUUUGGCAGAUUUGGUCCCCUUGCUAGUGUUAAAAUUAUGUGGCCCCGUUCUGAUGAAGAGAGAGCAAGGGGGAGAAAUUGUGGUUUUGUUGCAUUUAUGAACAGAAAAGAUGGAGAAAGAGCCAUGAAAAACUUGAAUGGAAAAGACAUCAUGAGUUUUGAAAUGAAACUUGGUUGGGGUAAAGCUGUACCUAUACCUCCCCAUCCUAUUUAUAUUCCUCCUGCAAUGGUUGAGUUCACUCUCCCACCACCACCAUCUGGUCUACCAUUUAAUGCUCAAUUAGAUAAAAAAGAUCGUCAUAAACUUUGGCCUGGAGAGCCAGAAACUAAAGAGUCUUUUGAGAAGCUUUUAGCGAAUGCUGUUGUCAAAGUGGUAAUCCCUACCGAAAGGAGUUUAUUGUGCCUCAUUCACCGUAUGAUCGAAUUUGUUGUUCGUGAAGGACCAAUGUUUGAGGCAAUGAUAAUGAAUCGUGAAAUAAAUAAUCCUAUGUUCAGGUUUCUCUUUGAUAAUCAGAGUCCGGCUCAUGUGUAUUACAGGUGGCGUCUGUAUUCUAUUUUAAAAGGGGAUCAUCCUAGCAAAUGGCAUACUGAUGAAUUUCUUAUGUUUAAAGAGGGCUCUUUUUGGAGACCACCUCCUCUUAAUCCUUUCCACCUAGGUAUGCCUGAGGAACUUGUGGAAGUUCCUCCGCCUCCCAUAACCAGACCCAUUGAACCUAAAAAAGGAUCAUUAUCUGAUACACAACGUGAGAAGUUUGAAGAUUUAUUACGUGGUAUCACUCCUGAGAAAUUCAAGAUUGCAGAUGCUAUGAUCUAUUGUAUUGAGCAUGCUGAAGCUGCUGAAGAAAUAAUUGAUUGCAUUGGAGAAGCCAUUGCUACGCCUGAAGCCCCAUUAUAUAAAAAAAUUGGUAGAUUAUAUCUCAUUUCAGAUGUGUUGCACAACUGUAGUGUCAAAGUUGCUAAUGCAUCAUUUUAUAGAAAAGGAUUUCAAGCUAAACUACCAGACAUUUUUAAAGACCUUCAUGAAACUUUUCAAAGUAUAGAAGGACGCUUGAAAGCUGAACAAUUUAAGCAAAGAGUAGUGAGCUGUUUUAGAGCUUGGGAAGACUGGGCAAUUUAUCCAAGUGAAUUUCUUAUCAAAUUACAAAAUCUAUUCCUUGGCCUUGUUCCAUUAUCACGUGACAUGAAUGAAGAUAGCAAUUCACCUCAACCAGGACAAAUGGCUCCUACUGAUACUGAAGUACAAUCUUCUGAUGAUAUUGAUGGUGUGCCUUUAUCUGUUGAUGAUAUAGAUGGCGUUCCAUUAGAUGGUUCUUUAGUUGAAGACCGAGAUGAUAUAGACGGUGUUCCUUUAAAUGACGACUUAGAUGGUCAACCAUUAGAAGACAUUCCUCAAGAUAUGGAGGAUAUAUCAUCCAAGUUUAAACCCUCAAAAUGGGAAACUGUUGAUCCUGAAACUGUAGAAGCACAAGGCCUAUGGAUGAUACUGCGUCAACAGUUGAUGACAUGUCCUACCAAGAUGAAGAAAAUAGUAAAGAUUCUUCUACUAUAAUAGAGCAAUUGAAAACUGACAUUAAUGAAGAAAGAAGGGCAAAAUUAAGAGAAGUAGAGGUCAAAGUUAUGAAAUAUCAAGAUGAGUUGGAGUCUGGCAGACGAUCUAGAAAACCAAAUAUGAAAUUUUAUGAGCAGGUUGAGCACUAUCGUCAAAAAUUAUUGAAAAGAAUUGAACGUGAAAAUAAGUCUGAUCGAGAAGGAUGUGAGAAGCAUAAGCGUCACAAAACUCAUUCACCUGCUAUUGUUGAGGCUACACUUGAUUCUUCAGAUGAAGCAGAUCACAGUCAAAGUCCUAGUUAUUACUCAUCAGUUCGUAAAAUUAGUCCACGCAGUGUUGCAUUCACGCCUGGAGAUAAUAUACAUUCCCCACACAAAUCUUAUAGAUCAUAUUCUCCGAAGAAAACGCGGAGAUCUAGAAGCCGAAGUCCCAAAAGAUCCAGACGCUCAAGAUCGAAGUCACCAUAUAAGCGAAGACUUUCACCAGAUUCACCUCCUGCUCGUAAACACAAAUC